rnacentral:sRNA from 1 species
AAAGCACAUGCGUGCAGGGCUGCACUGAACGGAGGCGGAGGAGGCGGCUCCGAGGGAGCAGCUGAUCCUGAAACAGCAGUGGAUCCCUGGGAGAGCAGCACAGAUAAAGAUCCAGUCAAUAAUGAUGCUUCCUCCUCUUGGACAGCCUUUUACAGUUCUGGCCAUGGAACUUCAGAGAAGACAUUUUUUCCAUUGCGCACACACUUUUGAAAAUUGGAUUAUAUGGCUGCAUAAUAUCUCUUCCUAUGGAUGGAGCAGAAUCUACUUAAUCAAUGUUCUAUUACUGGAUGAUGACGUAGUUCUCCAUACGUCACCGUUAAACCAGCGCCUGGAUGGGCAUCUCUUUACUCACAUCUUUGCAGAAGUCCUUGAUGGUUUCCGUGGAAUCGAUUCCCAGUGGGGGAAAUGAUGAGUCAAGGUUACAUACAGCUUAAGGCCUCUGCAGAUCAACUCUUCAAAUUAUUCAAAUGACCCAUAUGAGAAACAGAGAAAAGCCAAGUAUUUCUGGUUGAAACGGAGAAGCUGGGCUGGAGUGCGCCUCCCUCCAACUCCCCGCUUUAACUCCCUAAGG